GACGAACGCUGGCAGCGUGCUUAACACAUGCAAGUCGAACGAUGAAGCCGGAGCUUGCUCUGGUGAAUUAGUGGCGAACGGGUGAGUAACACGUGAGUAACCUGCCCUUGACUCUGGGAUAACUGCUAGAAAUGGUAGCUAAUACCGGAUACGACCCUCGGAGGCAUCUCCAGGGGGUGGAAAGAAUUUCGGUCAAGGAUGGACUCGCGGCCUAUCAGCUAUGUGGUGAGGUAAUGGCUCACCAAGGCGACGACGGGUAGCCGGCCUGAGAGGGUGACCGGCCACACUGGGACUGAGACACGGCCCAGACUCCUACGGGAGGCAGCAGUGGGGAAUAUUGCACAAUGGGCGCAAGCCUGAUGCAGCAACGCCGCGUGAGGGAUGACGGCCUUCGGGUUGUAAACCUCUUUUAGUAGGGAAGAAGCGAAAGUGGCGGUACCUGCAGAAAAAGCACCGGCUAACUACGUGCCAGCCGCCGCAGUAA
rnacentral:rRNA from 1 species